rnacentral:rRNA from 1 species
AGUGAACGCUGGCGGUAGGCCUAACACAUGCAAGUCGAACGGCAGCACAGUAAGAGCUUGCUCUUACGGGUGGCGAGUGGCGGACGGGUGAGGAAUACAUCGGAAUCUACUUUUUCGUGGGGGAUAACGUAGGGAAACUUACGCUACUACCGCAUACGACCUACGGGUGAAAGCAGGGGAUCUUCGGACCUUGCGCGAUUGAAUGAGCCGAUGUCGGAUUAGCUAGUUGGCGGGGUAAAGGCCCACCAAGGCGACGAUCCGUAGCUGGUCUGAGAGGAUGAUCAGCCACACUGGAACUGAGACACGGUCCAGACUCCUACGGGAGGCAGCAGUGGGGAAUAUUGGACAAUGGGCGCAAGCCUGAUCCAGCCAUACCGCGUGGGUGAAGAAGGCCUUCGGGUUGUAAAGCCCUUUUGCUGGGAAAGAAAAGCAGCAGGUUAAUCCCCCGCUGUUCUGACGGUACCCAAAGAAUAAGCACCGGCUAACUUCGUG